ensembl:lncRNA
CCCCCCCGUCUCCUCCCUCUCGCUCUUUUGGGAAGGUUAGGAGACUAGCAGUCUCUCCUGUCUGCACGGGGCUUCGGAUACCGCCUGCUCCUGCCCUCAGUGGCAGAGCACGGAGUUCACAGGAAGGCGCUUACUCGAAGCUCGCGGAGUUCUCGCUGUUGAUUAGUUGGGGACGUCCUAGAAAGAAAGGGCAGUAGGCGAUCGCGAGGCGCUGCGCGCGGGGCGAGGGGUAGUCGCGGCUGCCGGAGGCUGAGCGCCCGCGCGUGGACGAAGUGACCCCGGCAACUUCUCCAACUCGGCCGGCGCCGCCCCGCGCGCACACGGGACCCCGGGGGAACGGCCGUGUCGCCGAUCGGGGGCCCGGGCGGCUGUCGGGCUCUCCACCCAGUUUGGAAAGAAAAGAGGCCAUUCUUCCAACAAUUGACGGCCGGGCCGCCGCCGCAAAGGCAGAUUCUUUAUGGUUUGAACCACUGCUGCUGCUGCUAAGUUUCUUCAGUCGUGUCCAACCCUGUGUGACCCCACAGACGGCAGCCCACCAGGCUCCACCGUCCCUGCGAUUCUCCAGGCAAGAACAGGAGUGGGUUGCCAUUUCCUUCUCCAAUGCAUGAAAGUGAAAAGUGAAAUGCAAGUCGCUCAGUCGUGUCCAACUCUUUGCGACCCCAUGGACUGCAGCCUACCAGGCUCCUCCAUCCAUGGGAUUUUCCAGGCAAGAGUACUGGAGUGGGGUGCCAUUGCCUUCUCCGUUGAACCACUGGGGAAACCCCAUUUUACAUAUACUAUUUUCUACAAUUAUCUAAAUAAAAUACAUAAUCUAUUAUAUAAUCUAUUAUCUAGUUCUCCUAUAUAUGAUGUAUGAUCUAUUAUAUGUGAUAUAAAAUCUAUUAUGUAUAAUCU